UUGUAGGUCAGAGUGCAAUAGGCCCUUUGAAAUCAUAAUCUCAAUGCUUGUAUUUGAAUGUGUCCACUCCCAGAAAUGAAUCACAAUGACAAAUCUGGAUUAGUGUCAAGCCUUCCCCAACUCUCAUUUUGAGCCGUUUGGCUCUGAAGCCAGCAAUGGCAUGAAGGGUAUGGCUGGAUUCUUCAUUCCUCCAUCUGUCCUCCACCUGGGGAACUCUGGCUUUCAAUCUCCUUGCUGCUUUCUGUUUUGAUUUCCCCCAAGUUCUCAGGUAGAAGAGGAAGACAGAGGAGGGAUAAAGAUAGAAAUGGGCCAGAUGACCCCUUCAGUAUAUUGGUAUUCUCCAGUCAACAACCUCAAAACUCAUCAAACAGUAUGAAAAGAGAAAGGAAGGUCAGAGACGAAGGCCUGGAUGAGCAAAGAGGGCUACAACUUCUCAAUAACAUGAGCAAUGGAAUUCCUUUCUCCUAGUCCAAACAGAAGACAUAGUCAUAAAGCAAACCAUGUUUUAUUAUAUAUAUAACUUUAGGCUUGAUCCAAAAAGGAUUUGAGUCUGUGUACAGCAAGGGCCAGGGGUAUGGAAAUUCACUAAAAAUAAACAGUAAAGCAGAAUCGUAAGAAUAAGAAAA
rnacentral:lncRNA from 13 species